UUUCCUCAUAGGUUAGCCCACACU
rnacentral:siRNA from 1 species